AACUCCUUUAUUUACGAGUCUGCAGCCCCUGGGUGUCUCUCCAACCGAGGCACACCGAGACCAGGAAACCAUCCUCUACUUAUACAGCACCAUUUGGCUGAAUCAGCCUCCCCUUCUGGCUCCUUCCAAUCAGAGCACUGAGGUGCACAUCUAUAGGUG